AUUGAACGCUGGCGGCAGGCCUAACACAUGCAAGUCGAACGAGUGGCGGACGGGUGAGUAAUGUCUGGGAAACUGCCUGAUGGAGGGGGAUAACUACUGGAAACGGUAGCUAAUACCGCAUACCAUCAGAGGUGCCCAGCUGGGAUUAGAGAGUUGGUGGGGUAAGGGCUAACCAGGGCGCCGAUCCCUCGCUGGUCUGGGAGGAUGACCAGUCACACGUGAACUUAGACACGGUCCAGAGUCCUACGGGAGGCAGCAGUGGUGAAUAAUGCACAAUGGGCGCAAGCACGAUGCAGCCAUGCCGCGUGUAGGAUGAAGUGCUUCGGGUUGUAAAGUACUUUCAGCGGGGAGGCGUUACCCGCAGAAGAAGCACCGGCUAACGCCGUGCCAGCAGCCGCGGUAAUUC
rnacentral:rRNA from 1 species